rnacentral:rRNA from 1 species
UACGUAGGGUGCAAGCGUUAAUCGGAAUUACUGGGCGUAAAGCGUGCGCAGGCGGUGAUGUAAGACAGAUGUGAAAUCCCCGGGCUCAACCUGGGAACUGCAUUUGUGACUGCAUCGCUGGAGUGCGGCAGAGGGGGAUGGAAUUCCGCGUGUAGCAGUGAAAUGCGUAGAUAUGCGGAGGAACACCGAUGGCGAAGGCAAUCCCCUGGGCCAAUACUGACGCUCAUGCACGAAAGCGUGGGGAGCAAACAGG